UGGGGAAUAUUGGACAAUGGGGGGAACCCUGAUCCAGCCAUGCCGCGUGUGUGAAGAAGGCCUUAUGGUUGUAAAGCACUUUAAGCGAGGAGGAGGCUACUGAGACUAAUACUNCUUGGAUAGUGGACGUUACUCGCAGAAUAAGCACCGGCUA
rnacentral:rRNA from 1 species